GGCCGACCAAGAAGAUGUUCAAACAACCAAGAGAUAUGUUAGUCCAAAGACAGAAUGAGGAGCGAACUUUUACCACUUAUUUGUGUAGAAGAGUAUGGUACCAGGGGUGCAGCUGACUCUGAUUCCCGGCUUGUUCUAAUGAAAAAAGGCAUAUGAGGCACUGGAAUCCGAAUGUAAUCAAAAAUGCCAUUGUAUGAGGAUUGACCUGCAAUGCAUGGAAAUCAUCUAACACAACUGCAACGCCUUCCUUGGAAAAAUGAGUGCAAGAUGGAAACAAAGCGUUCAGUGGAACAUCUUGUCAUCUUAAAUAUUUGAUGACUUACAUACUGAUGUGAAGUUGAAGAUAAAAGUCAUGUGUUGGUCCGUAAUUAUUAAAUAAAUCCGAACAUAUAUUUUAAAAGGGUUAUAUGGUAAAGGAUUUAUCUACACUUAAAGUGGUUUUCCUAUAUUAUGGAGGGAAGAUAACUACAAAAACAGAAACAGAUGGCAUCGGCAGACCAAAUAAAGGAGAACUAUGUUGUUCAGUUCAAUUUUUAAGACUUCAGAAAAUCCGUUAAUAGGGCACAUCCUUGCAAAUGCCAUAUUGUAAACUGGGCUCUUUAAAAUGUGAAAAGGUGAAAGUGGUCUAGAGAAUAAGCGUCAAAUUCAAGGUUGUGAGUUCAAGACCUCCAAGAUACUUUCUCUUGACCUCAGGUAAAGGAUGUCCAUACUUGUUUCUACUUAGGCAACAGACUUAAGAGUGAUUCUGUAACCUUCCAGCUUGCAUAGCAAUCUGAUAAGGCACAAAAUAAGAUACUAGCUGACUUGCAAACAGUUUUUCCAUUUGUGUUGAUUUAUUUUUCAGUCUGUUGGAAUGUUUAUUAGAAGUGAUGCGCAUUGCUUACUGCAACCAAUAUUUAUUUUCUUUAUUAAGUUAAAUUUAACGAACACAUAACAUGACUUGUGAUUUUACAGAUGCAUGUUUAUUUCGUUGAUUG